UUUAUCUUAUUCUUGAAAAGAAUCACAUAUCAGAACAUGGAAUAGAGAAAAAGGGGAAAUACCUUCACAAUCCACAUGAUGGAAGUUCUUGUGCAGCUUUGGAAGAAAAAUGGUCAAAGGAGGUUCGAUUUGCUGCGAUUUCAAAAAGAAAGUGAGGAAUUUCUGGCUAAUAUUGAACCGACUAUGCGAUUUUAAUUGCGUUGCAGAAUCAAGAAGAAUGAAGAAGAAUACGUUUGCAAAGAUUUCUAUGGAGCAGAAUUUCUAUGUAGCAGAAUGGUAAAAACAAAAGAACCGUAUAAAUGGUAUUUACGUUUGCAAAGAUUUCUAUGAAUCAAGAAGAAUACGUUUGCAAAGAAGAAUACUACAGAUUUUUAGGGAUUUAAUGAUUGCAAAUUAUUUAAUUUGCAAUCAAAAUAAACAAACUUUCAAAUUUAAUCGGGAAUUUCGAAUCUGAAUUUUGAUUAACCUAUUUUUUCAAAUUAUUUCCAUAACUUUUAUUCAUUUAAAAUUAUUGGUUGAAUAUUUUGAAUACAGUUGUUUGCUCAAUUUUCCGGAUUUAUUGCAUCAGUUUGAAGUUUGAUUUCA